CACGGAGGGUGCAAGCGUUGUUCGGAAUCACUGGGCGUAAAGGGCGCGCAGGCGGUUUGGUAAGUCAGAUGUGAAGGCCCACGGCUUAACCGUGGAAGUGCAUUAGAAACUGCCAGACUUGAGUACCAGAGGGGAAAGUGGAAUUCCCGGUGUAGAGGUGAAAUUCGUAGAUAUGUGGAGGAACACCGAUGGCGAAGGCAGCCUCCUGGGAUAACACUGACGCUCAUGCACGAAAGCGUGGGGAGCAAACAGGAUUAGAUACCCUGGUAGUCCACGCCCUAAACGAUGUCAACUGGUUGUUGGGAGAGAAAUCUUUCAGUAACGAAGCUAACGCGUGAAGUUGACCGCCUGGGGAGUACGGCCGCAAGGUUGAA
rnacentral:rRNA from 1 species